GACGAACGCUGGCGGCGUGCCUAAUACAUGCAAGUCGAGCGGAGUUAGUUGAAAGCUUGCUUUCAACUAACUUAGCGGCGGACGGGUGAGUAACACGUGGGUAACCUGCCCCUUAGACUGGGAUAACAUUCGGAAACGGAUGCUAAUACCGGAUACACAACUUGGUCGCAUGGCCGAGUUGGGAAAGACGGAGCAAUCUGUCACUAAGGGAUGGACCUGCGGCGCAUUAGCUAGUUGGUGAGGUAACGGCUCACCAAGGCGACGAUGCGUAGCCGACCUGAGAGGGUGAUCGGCCACACUGGGACUGAGACACGGCCCAGACUCCUACGGGAGGCAGCAGUAGGGAAUCUUCCGCAAUGGACGAAAGUCUGACGGAGCAACGCCGCGUGAGUGAUGAAGGUUUUCGGAUCGUAAAGCUCUGUUGCCAGGGAAGAAUGCUUGGGAGAGUAACUGCUCUCAAGGUGACGGUACCUGAGAAGAAAGCCCCGGCUAACUACGUGCCAGCAGCCGCAGUAACAC
rnacentral:rRNA from 1 species